rnacentral:lncRNA from 1 species
AUGUGCGACGCGUCGCGGAAGAUGUUCGCGCGCUCUAGUCGCUACCGCGACUCACACGAGCCCCGGCCGAAUCACCGUCCGCGACACGCGCCAUCUUGGCCAUGGGCAGUGGGAGGCCCUGCCCCCUCAGCCCCUUGUGCGAGUGCGUCGGGCAGCGGGACGACGGGAGCGGAAGUACUCCGCCGACUCGAGGGCGGUGCGAGGUCGCGCCGGUUGUUGUUAUACGCCCUGACUGUGGGGCUGUGGGAGUCAAGUACGGGGAGGCGGAGCGGACACGGGCUGCAGGGGAGGGCGGGGGUGAUGGCUUUGCGCCCCUGCGGGCUCGCGGCACCAAGCGGCGGGCUGAGUGCGCUCAGCGGGCCGGGGGCGACGGCAAGCGAUACAGUCAGUGAAUUUGCUGAGUGCCUAGAGCAGGGUGCCUCCCUGAGACCGCUGCUCACCAGCUGCAGGUUCCUGCUCACUGGCACCUGGACUUCCUAGUGUGCAGAAGAGCCAGUCUGAGGCCUCAGAAGGUCCCCGCCCUUUGUCCAGAGCAGAACAGGAUGGGCACUGCCCAGGUGAGUUCCUCGUUUCCCCCUCCUUGUUUCCAGGGAACUUGAGGCAGCUUCGGGGCAUCUGUAUAGUAAGCCUGACAAAUCUGUCACUCCGCUCUGCUCUGGCUGUUUUCCGUUCAAGCUGUAAUUCAGCCCCGGUUCCUCCGAUCCUUCCCCUCGCCACAGAACCCAAAACUAUCAAACAGAAAAGACAGAAAGAAGGCCAGUGUUCUCAUCUACCUCUUCUUCAGGAAGGGCACCUCCUCUUUGUUCUACUUCUCAGGGAAGCUCGUCGAAGCCCAUAGACUCGGGUGCUUUUGCCUGACUUCGCUUCCACCUCCCUGUUCGCUUUUCCGUUGUGAUCAAAUAAGGAAAGUAAGUCCAUGCUUGACAUUCUGUGCACUAAAGAGUUGUCGGAACAUCCCUGUUUCUUCCGCCCCCGGUGCCACGUUUCUCCUCAGAGUGCCCGCUGGUAACAGCGUGGUGCUGGUGCGGGGUGGCUGGCUUUCCGCCAGUCUCACCAGCUGAACUCAGGCCCACAGGCUGCGUGGGGUGAGCGUUUGCCCGGGUGCCCUCCCAGCCCCACCCCCGUCUUGCUCUUCCCGCCCGGCUCUUUCUGGGAGCUGUUCCUCAGUGCGGAGGGACGGUUGCACUUUCCGUGCCGCGCUCUGGGUGUAUCACUCGACUGUUGCUCUGUUCGUGCACAGUCAGCUUUCGAAUUUUCUUUGUUCUCUACGGUGCCUCUUGGAUGACUCUUCCUGUGUGUGUUCAACAGUGUGGGUACUUCUGGAGGAUACACCUGAAAGUUGGAUUUGGGGGUCAAAGGUAGUCACACUUGAACCGGCUGUCCCACAUCCUAGACUAGUGGCGACUUUCCCAAAACGUUAAAGACCAGAUAAUGUCUGUGUUCAGCUUUUCCAGGCCGCUGAAAGUUGAAAAGGGAUCCAGCUGGUUUUAUGAGGCCACUUAACCUGAAAGUUGAUAAAGGUACUAAGGAAAUAAAUUAUACAGCUGAUCGAUUUGAGACUAUGGGUGUCAAGAUUCUAAACACAUUCUGAAUAGAGUGUUAAUACGUCGAAUCGAGUGCUGUGAAAAAUGAUUUGUACGUAUGGUAAAAGAUUGAAAGAAAAGCUGGUUUAACAAAAGGUGAAGAUUCAUUCUCCCUGUCGCCCCAUGCCCCAUCUCCUUCCUUGUUCCUUACGUUCUUGAGAGAUCACGUAUGCACAUCUCUUUCCACAUCAGAAUGCCAUUUACUUUGGAUCUCUUCCUUCUUUACAUAUUACAGCACAUUCUGGACUUUUCCACGAGCAUUCCAUUUCAUUGUGUGUUUGAACAACCCCGGGGUUUGCACCUGGGCAUGCUUGCACUUUGGGGCCAGCAAAUGCUGCGUUGUGGAGGGCGGUUGUGUGCGCUGGAGGGUAUCUAACCGCGUCCCUGCCCUGCCCUCCCUUGAUGCCAGUGUCCCCACCCCUCCCCCUGGGGUGACAGUGAAGAGUUUCUACAGACAUUGCCGGCUGUUCCCUGGAGGGCUCACUCACCCCGCUGGUGCCCCAUUUACAGCAAUGGCUCUGUGAUAUUCCACUGGCUGCAAAUACCUUAUUGGGUAUUUACCUUUGUGCCACGGAUGUACCCUGACUACAUUCUUGUGCUUUGCUGUCGGACAUGAUGCAGCAGUACUGAGCCGCGUAUGCUUCAGUGUGUUCCUUGUGAGCGUGUGUCAUCUGCAAGGGUCUAGGUCUGGAGGUGAGGGCUCUAGGUCCGACGCUCUGUGUUCGUGGAUUUUGACCGCUGAGGGCCUCUGAGCCAGUGAUUCCCCUGUGCUCAGCAGUGUGGUCAUGGUCCCUGACACCUGAGCUGUCACUUGGGAGGGUGAUGGGGGGUGGGUUUUUCUGAGAGCUCCUCCUGGGGUGACACCUGCCUGUCACUGUCCUGCUGCACAAGGCCUGUCCUGGCUUGUCUCCCUCUGCAGCGCUGGGCAACCGGCUGCCCCGUGUGGCCUGCUGGGGCCUGGCGGGUGCCACCUGUCUCCUGGACUGCAGGCCAGCCAGUGAGGGGGGGGCAGGAGGAGAUACAGGGGGUCACCGGGUGGGUCUUGCUCUCUCUCUGAUAGGGAUCUGGGCACUCAGAAAAGCAAGCUUUUGUUUGGUGCUGACAAGACCAAACACAGACCUUUCCUUUUUCACCUCAAUCUGCUGACCAGGGCAGACUCCCACCCUCCUGCUUCCUGUUCCCUCUCCUGCUGGGUUAGCCACGAUUAGCAGUUGGGUGACUGAAAGAGCAACCCGGUGCGGCCGCCUUCGGGUGGGAACAGCCCAGUCGUUUCCCACUGUGUCUUCCCUGCCUGUCCUCCUCCAGCGUGGCUCCUCCGCCCUCACACAGAGCUCUGUAUCUCUGACACAUCUGGUCAGGACAUGUGUAGAAGCUUCCCCACCCAAACAGCUCUCUGCCGCACCAGCUGGGUGUCCUACCCGGAGCUCAGUUUUGACGCCGUCGCCCUAGAGAUAGCAUGGGAUCCCACGGUUUGAGGGGUCAGUCCCACCAGACUGCCCCCCCCCACCCCCCUCGGACGCCAGCCCUGAGUUGCGGCCUUUUGACCAGCUGGCUGUGGAUCAGAGGGACCAGUGACGCCCUCCUUGGAAACGAUUGUUUGCUAGAGCGGCUCAUAGGACUCCGGGACACCCUUACUUACAUUUCACAGUUUAUUAAAGGCUGCGAUGAAGGGCACACGUGAACAGCCAGAUGAACACAGGGCAAGGCCUGUAAGGCCCUGAGCAGAGGAGCUGCUGUCCGUGUGGACUUGGGAAGCGUCAUCCUCCCGGAAUAUGGAUGUGUUCACGCACCUGGAAGCUCCCCGAGACCCAUGCAGGGGGGAUGGUAUGGCGGCUUCCUAACGCAGUGACGCUCAGUUGUUAACUCCAUUUCCAGCCCCUCUUCCAUCUCCGGAGAAGGGUGGGUGGGGCUGAGCAGUCCAGAGCUUCCAGUCACAGCUUGGCCUUUGUGGUCUGCAGCCCCAUCUGGUCACCUCCAGUCACCUCAUUAGAACGUGAGAUGUUCCAAGGGGCGCCUGGGUGGCACAGCGAUUAAGCAUCUGCCUUCAGCUCAGGGCGUGAUCCUGGCGUUAUGAGAUCGAGCCCCACAUCAGGCUCCUCCGCUAUGAGCCUGCUUCUUCGUCUCCCACUCCCCCUGCUUGUGUUCCCUCUCUCGCUGGCUGUCUCUAUCUGUCUAAUAAAUAAAUACAAUCUUUAAAAAAAAAAAAGAAUGUGAGAUGUUCCAGUUCUUCUCUCGUGGGGAUUUGUAAGGGUUUUAGCUGUGCAACAGGCACCUA